AGCGAACGCUGGCGGCAGGCUUAACACAUGCAAGUCGAGCGGGCACUUUCGGGUGUCAGCGGCGGACGGGUGAGUAACGCGUGGGAACGUGCCCUCUGGUUCGGAAUAACUCAGGGAAACUUGAGCUAAUACCGGAUACGCCCUUUUGGGGAAAGGCUUGCUGCCGGAGGAUCGGCCCGCGUCUGAUUAGCUAGUUGGCGAGGUAACGGCUCACCAAGGCGACGAUCAGUAGCUGGUCUGAGAGGAUGAUCAGCCACACUGGGACUGAGACACGGCCCAGACUCCUACGGGAGGCAGCAGUGGGGAAUAUUGGACAAUGGGCGCAAGCCUGAUCCAGCCAUGCCGCGUGAGUGAUGAAGGCCUUAGGGUUGUAAAGCUCUUUUAUCCGGGACGAUAAUGACGGUACCGGAGGAAUAAGCCCCGGCUAACUUCGUG
rnacentral:rRNA from 1 species